rnacentral:rRNA from 1 species
GAUGAACGCUGGCGGCGUGCUUAACACAUGCAAGUCGAACGGAGUUCCUUCGGGGACUUAGUGGCGAACGGGUGAGUAACGCGUGAAGAACCUGCCUUUCAGUGGGGGACAACAGUUGGAAACGACUGCUAAUACCGCAUAAUGUUAUUUGGGGGCAUCCUCGAAUAACCAAAGAUUUAUUGCUGAAAGAUGGCUUCGCGUCUGAUUAGCUAGAUGGCGGGGUAACGGCCCACCAUGGCGACGAUCAGUAGCCGGUCUGAGAGGAUGAACGGCCACAUUGGGACUGAGAUACGGCCCAGACUCCUACGGGAGGCAGCAGUGGGGAAUAUUGGGCAAUGGGCGAAAGCCUGACCCAGCAACGCCGCGUGAAGGAAGAAGGCCUUCGGGUUGUAAACUUCUUUUACCAGGGACGAACAAAUGACGGUACCUGGAGAAAAAGCAACGGCUAACUACGUG